rnacentral:rRNA from 1 species
GAUGAACGCUGGCGGCGUGCCUAAUACAUGCAAGUCGAGCGAACAGACGAGGAGCUUGCUCCUCUGACGUUAGCGGCGGACGGGUGAGUAACACGUGGAUAACCUACCUAUAAGACUGGGAUAACUUCGGGAAACCGGAGCUAAUACCGGAUAAUAUAUUGAACCGCAUGGUUCAAUAGUGAAAGACGGUUUUGCUGUCACUUAUAGAUGGAUCCGCGCCGCAUUAGCUAGUUGGUAAGGUAACGGCUUACCAAGGCAACGAUGCGUAGACGACCUGAGAGGGUGAUCGGCCACACUGGAACUUGGACACCGUCCAGACUACUACGGGAGGCAGCAGUAGGGAAUCUGACGCAAUGGGCGAAAGCUUGACGGAGCAACGCCGCGUGAGUGAUGAAGGUCUUCGGAUCGUAAAACUCUGUUAUUAGGGAAGAACAAAUGUGUAAGUAACUAUGCACGUCUUGACGGUACCUAAUCAGAAAGCAACGGCUAACUACGUG